GAACCAAUGGUGCAGUGAUAGCACAACGAUCUUGUAAUUUGUGUGUGGACGGUGGGUUUGAUUCCCACUUGGUUCA